ACCAUGGCCUGGGCUCUGCUCCUUGUCACCCUCCUCACUCAGGACACAGGAUCCUGGGCCCAGUCUGGCCUGACUCAGCCUCCCUCAGUGUCCGGGAAUCUGGGACAGACGGUCACCAUCUCUUGUGCUGGAACCAGCAGUGACAUAGGGAAAUAUAACGCUGUCGGCUGGUACCAACAACUCCCAGGCACGGCCCCCAAAACCCUGAUUUACGAUGUCAAUAAACGGCCCUCAGGGAUCCCUGAUCGCUUCUCUGGCUCCAAGUCUGGCAACACGGCCUCGCUGACCAUCUCUGGGCUCCAGGCUGAGGACGAGGCCGAUUAUUACUGUAGCUCGUUUGACCUGCAUCUGAGUGGGCUGAGCCUGGGAGGUUUGGGGACACAGUCUGGGUCUCAGCUUUGUCCCCUCUCCUGGCACUGGUGA